CUUACUAGAAGUGAUUAAUUCCUUGUUGACCUACUCAUAAUUUUCGUACACAAUUCACCAUAUCCAGAAGACCCCAUACACAGCUUAAAGUCAUGAAUGAGUAUAAACUAAAACAUGGGUUCAUGUGCACAAGAUACCAUGGUGAUCUCAAGUCAUAGGAUCAGUUGCACAACUUCUACUAAGAGAAUCAUCUUUUGACAUGUAAGUAAGACUUCAUAAGAUUUCUCUUUGCAGGUCAAUUCAGUGAACUCAUUCUUCUAAUGAGCACCCACAUCUUUGUAUUAGUGUCUCCACACAAGUGAUUGUGAGAUCAAUC
rnacentral:lncRNA from 1 species